UACGAAGGGGGCUAGCGUUGCUCGGAAUCACUGGGCGUAAAGCGCACGUAGGCGGAUCUUUAAGUCAGGGGUGAAAUCCUGGAGCUCAACUCCAGAACUGCCUUUGAUACUGGGGAUCUCGAGUCCGGAAGAGGUGAGUGGAACUCCGAGUGUAGAGGUGAAAUUCGUAGAUAUUCGGAAGAACACCAGUGGCGAAGGCGACUCACUGGACACGUAUUGACGCUGAGGUGCGAAAGCGUGGGGAGCAAACAGG
rnacentral:rRNA from 1 species